ncrna:Polynucleobacter sinensis strain MWH-HuW1 Ga0081198_102, whole genome shotgun sequence
GCGAUGAUUUAAAAUAGCCUUCUUGGUCUUGUGCGCAAAGUACGCAAAAAAGCAGUCAAAAGCGCUUGGAGUGUGACGCACGGAAUCUGAGAGUGUUUCGGUAAAGGCCGAAACCUAAAAUUUAUCAAUAUUGAGG